GGGGUCAGGAGGACUGGAGUGGAGCCUGACGGCGACAAAAGGAAACUAACUCUUGGUUUCGACCGGGGAAGGAACAUGAGAGCAAAUGUGCUGCCCUCAGUGGGGAAAAAAAAAAGUUUGGACACCCCUCCUCUAAACGGUUGGAAUGACAAACCAGGAGCUGAAGCGUCAGCAUGAACAGGAUACCACAAGGAUAUUAUGGGACAUGUUUUUCCAUGUACUUUGUCCAAAUAGAGGAAUUCAGCUCACAAAUAUAAACCGUCACUGACUAGAAGGAACCAUCAAUGGCUACAUUACUUUGUCUUCUCAAUCGAAGGUUGCAGUUCCCGUGUGACUCCUAUCAAGAGCGCCCAUGUAACAAUAAUGCAAUAACAAUAAUGUAACAAAGUCAUAACUAGCGCUGCAGAAUUGUUCCCCGGGCGAAGGAGAGCAGCGGAAAUGACCAUAACACAGUUUUGCAUCCCUCAGGAUCUGUUCCAUAUGACAUGGAAGCAUUUGAGAGGACAAUUUGCAUCAGAUACUGUUACUCAAGCUAAUUUGUUAUCCAGUGAAAGUCACUUUCAGUCCACACGCAUACCAGAAAACAUUGUUUACAUCUUUUACACACAU